AAGUCGUAACAAGGUUUCCGUAGGUGAACCUGCGGAAGGAUCAUUUGCGUACUUACAAAAAAAAGAAAACUUGAGCUUAAGCGGGGCAACUCGUUUGGGUUCCUGUUUUUGAGAUAAGUGUGGUCUAAACUAGAUGAAAUCUGGAUUGAGAAUUCAUUUUUUUAAUCCAGACCAUAUCUAAUUUUUCCUACCAUAACUAAAACACCCCAAGUUUGAUUAGUCAUUCAGUUGAUGAAAUUUUUUAUCUAAAAACAAAAAAAUAACACAACUGGCAACGGCGGAUCUCUUGGCUCGU
rnacentral:misc_RNA from 1 species